rnacentral:rRNA from 1 species
CCUGAGUACGACGGAGCACGUGAAAUUCCGUCGGAAUCUGGGAGGACCAUCUCCUAAGGCUAAAUACUCUCUAGUGACCGAUAGUGAACCAGUACCGUGAGGGAAAGGUGAAAAGUACCCCGGAAGGGGAGUGAAAGAGAACUUGAAACCGUGUGCUUACAAGUAGUCAGAGCCCGUUAAUGGGUGAUGGCGUGCCUUUUGUAGAAUGAACCGGCGAGUUACGAUCUGAUGCAAGGUUAAGCAGAAAAUGUGGAGCCGUAGCGAAAGCGAGUCUGAAUAGGGCGAAUGAGUAUUUGGUCGUAGACCCGAAACCAGGUGAUCUACCCUUGGUCAGGUUGAAGUUCAGGUAACACUGAAUGGAGGACCGAACCGACUUACGUUGAAAAGUGAGCGGAUGAACUGAGGGUAGCGGAGAAAUUCCAAUCGAACUUGGAGAUAGCUGGUUCUCUCCGAAAUAGCUUUAGGGCUAGCCUCAAGUGAUGAUUAUUGGAGGUAGAGCACUGUUUGGACGAGGGGCCCCUCUCGGGUUACCGAAUUCAGACAAACUCCGAAUGCCAAAUAAUUUAACUUGGGAGUCAGAAUGUGGGUGAUAAGGUCCAUAUUCGAAAGGGAAACAGCCCAGACCACCAGCUAAGGUCCCAAAAUAUAUGUUAAGUGGAAAAGGAUGUGGCGUUGCCCAGACAACUAGGAUGUUGGCUUAGAAGCAGCCAUCAUUUAAAGAGUGCGUAAUAGCUCACUAGUCGAGUGACACUGCGCCGAAAAUGUACCGGGGCUAAACAUAUUACCGAAGCUGUGGAUUGUCCUUUGGACAAUGGUAGGAGAGCGUUCUAAGGGCGUUGAAGCAUGAUCGCAAGGACAUGUGGAGCGCUUAGAAGUGAGAAUGCCGGUGUGAGUAGCGAAAGACGGGUGAGAAUCCCGUCCACCGAUUGACUAAGGUUUCCAGAGGAAGGCUCGUCCGCUCUGGGUUAGUCGGGUCCUAAGCUGAGGCCGACAGGCGUAGGCGAUGGAUAACAGGUUGAUAUUCCUGUACCACCAUUAUUCGUUUUAAGCGAUGGGGGGACGCAGUAGGAUAGGCGAAGCGUGCUGUUGGAGUGCACGUCCAAGCAGUGAGAUUGAGUGUUAGGCAAAUCCGGCACUCUUAAGAUUGAGCUGUGAUGGGGAGAGGAACUUGUUCCUCGAGUCGUUGAUUUCACACUGCCGAGAAAAGCCUCUAGCUAGAAUAACGGUGCCCGUACCGCAAACCGACACAGGUAGUCAAGAUGAGAAUUCUAAGGUGAGCGAGCGAACUCUCGUUAAGGAACUCGGCAAAAUGACCCCGUAACUUCGGGAGAAGGGGUGCUCUUUGAGGUUCA